CAAUAGCGUAUAUUAAAGUUGUUGCGGUUAAAAAGCUUGUAGUUGGAUCUCGGCAGGCAGGGGGUGGUUCGCUCUUAGCGCUACUGCCCCAUUUGCCUGUGUGAUUGGCGGAGGUUUCGGGGUGCUCUUCGUUGAGUGACCCGGGGCGCCGUCAGGUUUACUUUGAAAAAAUUAGAGUGCUCAAAGCAGGCUUUUCACGCUUGAAUAUUCGUGCAUGGAAUAAUGGAAUAGGAACUCGUUUCUAUUUUGUUGGUUUUCGGAAAUCGAGUUAAUGAUUAAUAGGGACAAUUGGGGGCAUUAGUAUUCAGACGACAGAGGUGAAAUUCUUGGACCGUCUGAAGACUAACUACUGCGAAAGCAUUUGCCAAGAGUGUUUUCAUUAA
rnacentral:rRNA from 1 species